rnacentral:sRNA from 1 species
UAACUUAAAGAGCCCUUACUUUUUGGAAAGGAACUUUUAACUUUUUCAACCAUUACACAUUGUUUAAAGUACCAAGAUCUUAACAAAACUACUACUAAUAAGAAUUGGGGAAAAAUAGUAAUAGUAGAAAAACAAAAUCAAUUAAAAUUGUCUACAUUCAAAAAGUAUUUAUCUGAAACUUAUUCUUGUCAUAUUACUGGAAUAUCUGUCGCAACAGAAGCAAUAUUAAUAACGUGAUACAACUAAAAAAAACAAAGAGAAGAUUACGAAAACAAAUCGACGUAAAGAUUAUCUACUACUUAAUUUAAAACAAAAAUUGUGAAUACUAAUUUUUAACAUUUUGCAACAUUUUGUUACUGACGAGAAUAUUGUUAGAAUCAUGGAGAUAUCUAAUAAACAUUGUAGAUCUGGACGAAUGUACACCCCAGAGGUCCACGGCAAGAGCUUAGCGUCAGAAUCCAAGUGCUCUGGUCAGUCACAGAAGCUAUUCAAUAAUGACAAGAUGGUCCAGGAUUCUAGAACCAACUAUAGCUUCCUUCAGUCACACUUCCAUUCGACAGACAGCCUGGCCAGUGCGCCGUCAUCUUCCCGUCAUGCAACUGAAUUUCUGAGGAACUUUCUCAUCCAGUCAGUAUCGGGUGUAUUUUUGUCUUUGACCAACAAACAGUCCUCCAAUUGUAUUCUUCUGGUCGUCUUUCUCCUCACAGUCUCCGCCCUGGUGUGCCCUAACGAGGCGAGGUCUGUAGGAGUCUGCAACGGAAUUCCCUGCGCCAACGGCGGAAAAAUUUUAGUCUCUAACAGUGUUUGGGGCAACUGUAGGUGCAGGUGUCCGUCAGGGUUUGUCGGACCUUACUGUCAGUACGUAGCUGCUUUGACAGAUAGCGCUGUGAGUGUCGAAAACAAUCUCGUCGACGUAAGCACCCCAAUGUGGAGAUUUGCUAUAGAUACACUAAUGGGUAUAAUUAUUCGUGCGGUUAUUAACGAGGAUGAACUUGACGAAGCCAAGUGAAUUGGACAACGAGAAAAACUAAAAAAGUCAGAGAAGAUCUUGGAAAUUAACCUGAUUGCUCCAAAGUUCGACGACUCCCAAUCUGCAGAUUCCCUUCAACAGCGUUACAUUCCUUUUUAAUCUCACUAAUGUAGAACUAUCUACGUCACUUUGACAUUCAACAAUAUUUCUAUAAAAGACCGAUGGAUCUCAAACAAAUUCGACUCUCCUCACUGGCUCAAAACUCUGAAAGACGACAUCUUUGUUUUAAUUUUAUCUUUUCAAAGUAGGAUCAAUGUUAUGAAAUAUUUCUUUGAAAAUAUUAAUAUGCCACACAAACGCGUUGAUCGGCGUGCAAUUGUUUGAGCUCUAUGUCUAUUAUGUAUUUGUGUGUAUAAGAUUUUCUAAAUGUGUUAAUUGUAAGUGUCCAGUAAAUGAACAACUAAUAAGGUCAUUUGUAAGUGUCCAAUCAAUGAACAACUAAUAAGGUCAUUUGUAAGUGUCCAGUCAAUGAACAACUAAUAAGGUCAUCUGUAAGUGUCCAGUUAAUGAACAACUAAUAAGGUCAUUUGUAAGGGCCCAGUCAAUGAUUUCUUAUCAACGUCUAACACCAAGCUAGGGUAUAAACAGAUAACACGUGACAGAUCGCAUGACAUAACCCAUAGCAUAUUAACACAUGACAUAAUUCAUAGCUUAACACAUGACAACACAUGAUAUAACACAUGACAUAUAACAUUAACACAUGACAUAACACAUGACAAAUGGCAUAACACGUGACACAUUAUACAUAACAUAUGACACAUUAUACAUAGUACAUAAUGCAUAAACAUGACACAUGAUAACGCAAGAGCUAUGUUGAAAAAGUACUUGUACUAAUCUAUUGUCCAGCUAACUGAUACAUGUCAUUAAAGUGUAGGCUUGGUGACAAAAUAACGUUACUAAAUUAAAAUCAUGAGCCAAUAUUCUCUAGCACUUACAAGAUGGACAUUCAUUAAAUCCAAUCAAAUGUCAUUGUAUUGGGGGAUUGGGAUUCUCUUCUGCUGAAGCAGGUCUGAUUAAUAACAAGAAUCUUCGUAUGCAUUUGUUUAAUCCAAAAGAUUUUUUCUAUGUUCGUUGUCAUAUGUACUGUCACCAUUAUUACAAUGGGAUUUUUUUUAUUCGGUAGAGGCUUUAAUACCUUAUUAACAAAAUAUUGUAUUAUUUGUUAUAUUUUGUUACUUUUUGUGAUAUUUGUAAUACAGUGUUAAUAAUCAUUGCAGAAUUAAAGUAGAUCUGGUCAAAUAACAAUUGAAUGUCUUGUCUUUAACCAGCUGGCCUCAUUAAAGGAAAUCAGUUCGUGGAGUUAGGAACCAUUUCUUGCUUGUUUUUAUACUAGUGUUUAAAGACCACGUGCUAUUAUCAAUAUUAGAGUUUUAAGAAUGCUAUUAGAAAUGUGCAAGCUGAUAUACCUACAUCAUAUCAGAGAGGGUGAUGCAGCUCUAGUGUGCGUCUAGCUCCACACCAUGCCGCCCCCACUUAUAGACUUCAUUUUAACGAUUUUCUUGUUCAAAUGAGCGACACACACAUUCUGUGACCAACAGACUUGCAGUCUGGCCAUCAAUCACACACGUACACAGUGGAGGAGAUGUGCUAGGUAGAAACAACAGCGUGACAGUGAUACCGUGACAGUGAUACCGUGACAGUGUAUGCCAUGUGACAUACGCGAUAUUUAAAACUGCCUGUUUUUUUGUUUUAAUUUCAGGCACUGCGUCUGUUGAUUAAUUGUCUGGAGGAUAUGGAGUGCACGUCCCAUGACUAUAUACGUGUAUUGCUUAGUAUAGAUUUAUAAUGUCUCCUUAGAUCUACUGUAUUCAAACUCAAACUUAAGCAAUGCUUCCUGCCAUGUUAGAAACAAAAAUGAUGUGUUUAGCUUUUAUUUAUUAAUCCCCCCCCUCCAGACAUAGACGGCAAAAAUCGACCACUGGUGGACAAUGGUUGUGCCUGCGCUGGAUGUGGCAAAAUAUGUGACUAAAUUAUGUAUUGUAUUUACUCAAUUUAACAAUGUGUAUCCCUACUCUGUACCUGGAUGACAACCUUAAUAAACUUGUUGGCUUCAACAUGUUCCAAAUGGACUCUCAUCUUUCAUGCUCUAUGUCCAUAGUAUUAAUGAUCAUGUUUUUUUAUGUGUGUGUUUUAAAGUGAUAUCUAUAAAACAAAUGUUUAAAGAACUGCUAGAAAAUCAAAUCUGUAAACAAAAAAUACUAUUUCUUAUUUUUAUUUUAUGCAAUUUGAUUUCAUUGUACUCUUAGCAAAGCAGAAACAUCAUUUCGAUACCAUUUUGUUUUUAAGUAAUAGUGUUUCAAAAUUUCUAAAAGAAAUUAAAGUACUGAUAUAACACGGCUUUAAACUUUGUUCCUAAUUAUCAAAUUAAUUUUUCUAUGAAAUGACAUGGUCGCGUGAUGACCUAAUGAGUGUUUUUACUACCAUUGGUUGCUAAAAAUAGUUCAAAUCUAUUGGCUUGUGGUUCUGACACUAGGCCAUCACUGUGGUAACGAUUCCUUUAAUCUACGUGCGUGUGGUCCUGGGCCAUCACUGUGAUAACGAUUCCUUUAGAUCUACGUGUGUGUGGUCCUAGGCCGUCACUGUGAUAACGAUUCCUGUAGAUCUACGUGUGUGUGGCCCUGGGCCAUCACUGUGAUAACGAUUCCUUUAGAUCUACGUGUGUUCACUUGUUUUGAUUUCUUUUGCUUCUCUUUAUUUAGUUGACCUCUUGUACUAGACAUUUUAAAGCAGAUAUUCCUCUGCUGACUCAUCCUUUAUUUAUUUCUAGCGAAUGUUUUGUUAUGGUUAGGGUUUAACUGUUAAUAUUUAUCUAAGACGUAUUCUUACGACAGUAUAACUCCACUGAAGAGCUGUGACCAUAUGUGACCGAGAAUCAUAGCUCCUGUUGUAAUAUGGCUACUAUCCGUGGGUUAGUUUGGUAUUUUGUUUUUUGUUUCAACUUAAUUGAUGCAUAAUGAAUGGUUGCUAAAUGAAUUGAGCAGAUUUUUGCUGAGACGGUAACCAAAACACAUACUUGUAUCUUGCCUGUCUAAAGCUUGUUGUUAUUUUAAUUUAUUAUUUUAUUGGGAAUAAAGUAUUGCUACAAAAAGGAAAAA